rnacentral:rRNA from 1 species
GACGAACGCUGGCGGCGUGCUUAACACAUGCAAGUCGAACGAAGUGGCGAACGGGUGAGUAACGCGUAAUCAACUGCCCUUCAGAGGGGGAUAACUAUUGGAAACGAUAGCUAAUACCGCAUACUAGUAGAUGGACCUGCGUUGUAUUAGGUAGUAGGUAGGGUAAUGGCCUACCUAGGCGACGAUACAUAGCCGACCUGAGGGGGGGUGCGGCCACACUGGGCCGGAGACACGGCGCGGACUCCUACGGGAGGCAGCAGGAGGGAGUCGUCGGGAAUGGGGGGGACUCGGACCGAGCAACGCCGCGUGAGUGAAGAAGGUGGUCGGAUCGUAAAGCUCUGUUGUUAAGGAAGCGGUACUUAGCCAGAAAGGGACGGCUAACUACGUGCCAGCCGCCGCGGUAAUAC